GACGAACGCUGGCGGCGUGCCUAAUACAUGCAAGUUGAGCGAUGAAGAUUGGUGCUUGCACCAAUUUGAAGAGCAGCGAACGGGUGAGUAACGCGUGGGGAAUCUGCCUUUGAGCGGGGGACAACAUUUGGAAACGAAUGCUAAUACCGCAUAACAACUUUAAACAUAAGUUUUAAGUUUGAAAGAUGCAAUUGCAUCACUCAAAGAUGAUCCCGCGUUGUAUUAGCUAGUUGGUGAGGUAAAGGCUCACCAAGGCGAUGAUACAUAGCCGACCUGAGAGGGUGAUCGGCCACAUUGGGACUGAGACACGGCCCAAACUCCUACGGGAGGCAGCAGUAGGGAAUCUUCGGCAAUGGACGAAAGUCUGACCGAGCAACGCCGCGUGAGUGAAGAAGGUUGUCGGAUCGUAAAACUCUGUUGGUAGAGAAGAACGUUGGUGAGAGUGGAAAGCUCAUCAAGUGACGGUAACUACACAGAAAGGGACGGCUAACUACGUG
rnacentral:rRNA from 1 species